rnacentral:rRNA from 1 species
AACGCGAAGAACCUUACCUACUCUUGACAUCCUGCGAACUUGGUAGAGAUACCUUGGUGCCUUCGGGAACGCAGAGACAGGUGCUGCAUGGCUGUCGUCAGCUCGUGUUGUGAAAUGUUGGGUUAAGUCCCGUAACGAGCGCAACCCUUGUCCUUAGUUGCCAUCAUUUAGUUGGGGACUCUAAGGAGACUGCCGGUGGCAAACCGGAGGAAGGCGGGGACGACGUCAAGUCAUCAUGGCCCUUACGAGUAGGGCUACACACGUGCUACAAUGGCAAGCACAGAGGGCCGCGAAGCCGCGAGGUGGAGCUAAUCUCACAAAGCUUGUCGUAGUCCGGAUUGGAGUCUGCAACUCGACUCCAUGAAGUCGGAAUCGCUAGUAAUCGCGAAUCAGAAUGUCGCGGUGAAUACGUUCCCGGGUCUUGUACACACCG